GGAAACUGCGUGCACCGUGCAACACUGUGAUUGGAGUGACUUGUUACUCCAGUGUAACCCACUGCCAACAGCCUGGUACUCGAGGCCGUAGUAAGCUCUUGUUAAAUAGUUGGAAAUGGGAUGAUUGCCAGUUACAGAACAAUGGGCCUGGCUCAUGCUGCCAGAGUAGUUUGAGAGCGGGUUCUUGCUAGAGCAAGAGAGAGGGGAGUUAGUCUUCGCUUGCAGCUGGAGCAGUAGCUGUCCCGAGUGGGCAGGGAGGCCCUGGCCCUCUCCUUCCUGUUGCUCUGCCCUCCCUCGGGUGUGGCACUCUCCCUGUUUGGUGGUUGAAGACACUUGCUGUUCCCUCUCCCGAGUCUGCAGACCAUUGCAAGGCACCGAAUGCACACCCAGAACGCUCAUCCAGCACGCCCUUUUUCUCAAGUAGGGUGCGUGGCCAUGUGGGAGACAACUCGGAGUCUUUGCCACAGACACCACGGGGACACGGCUCUUCCAUUUGGUGACAAAUCGCACUGCUGGUGAGAUACUGAGCUGCGCGUCGCUGGGAAGGAAAGCAGAGGCUGGACCUCUGGGAUUCCCGGUGAGAAUCCUGCAGGGCAGGCCCCAGGUGGAGGGGGCGACCCCGGUCUCCAGGGCCGGGGGAGGCAGCGAGGCCCAAGGACAGGCGGCGGAGGCGGGAGGCGGCGAAUGGGCUCCUCCCGAGGCCCGGACCAACCCCUGGCCGUGAGGCCGCGCCCCGCCGCGUUCAGCGAAGGGAAGCAGGCACCCCGCCCGGCUCUCCGCUGCCUCCACACUCGGGGACCCUGGGCGCUCACGUGUUCCCCUCUGGGCCUCAGGAUUCAAGGAUGCGCCCUCUUGCAAACAGUCCGUGGCCUGCGACAGAAAGAAAACCCCUGGGAGCGGUCGGGGUGGGGACCCACAAAACGCUGUGGCUAAACCGCAUGGCGCCAAGCCCGAUCGGAGCGUGGCGUGGGAAUCGAGUCAAAUUUACCCUGCUAGGUGCGGCUCCAACAAGGUCCCGGGUACUCCUCUAACGCCCAGUGAGGGCAGCACUGCCUUUGUCCCUGCCCCACGGACAGGACACGGAGGCUCCGACAUACAAAAGGACUUAACCCGAGGGGAAAUGUUAGAGCCGGGCUCCAACCCAGGACUUCCUGAGUCUAAGCCCAAUCUGGCCCUAGACGAGCUGCCACGGUGGGCUGCACCCUCCACGGCAGGAGCUUGCCUGGCCUUGCUUCUUAGGUGAGUGUCCAGCCCAGGCCUUUAGAAGUUUGCUUCUUUAUCAGGUCACAUGUUUUUGGACAUUUGUGAUCACUGCUUUGCCAUUGCAAAGGGGGACAAGAGGCCCAGGGAGCCCCCUCAUUUACCAGCCCCUUCCUGGGAGGCUCAGAAAGCAGCCAGCUGCCCCCACAUGCACGGUGGCCUGUGCAUCAGUGUAGCUUGGCGGGUCAUUUUACAGAGGAGGCGACCAAGGAGGUGGCAGGCUGCAGUCGGGGUCCCCAAGGUGAUACCUCCAUCUCCAGUGUCAAGGCUCUGAGGAGGGAGCUGGGGACCUCAGGAGGCAGUGGCAGUGGAGGAGCUGGUGUGGAUGAACCUGAAAGGGGCAGGAAAGGCACUUGGGCAGCCUGGAGCAGGCAGGAGUUGUCACCCGCUCUCUCUAAGCCAGCCCUGCACAAAGCCACUGGCCUUACCUCCUGCAGGUGAAGCAGGUACAGAGCUACCUUCUGCUUCCAGCCUCGGGGGUGAAAUGACCCCCUGCUAAAGUCACACAGAGUAUGGGGCAGCAUCAGGACUACAGGCCAAAUCAUCUGACUCCAGAGCCCUCUCUACACAGAGCUGGGAGGUAAAGGUAUGAAUUAUUCCCAUUUUACAGGUGAGGAAGCAAUGGCCCAGAGAGUUUAAGUAGCUUGUUCAAGGUCACACAGCAAGAAAAUAGAGACAGCCAUACCACUCCUAGAAUCUCCAGUGUCCUCACCUGCACUCAACUCAAUGUGUGAAACUCCCGACUCACGCCUGGCGUGUGCUCGGUGCACAGUCCAUGUUAGAUCCUUUGUUUGGUCUUCUACAGAUAUUUUGAAAGACAUUUUAUGUCUGUAAUAUACAGUCAGGAGAGACAGCCAAAAGGAUGUGGAGAAAAUGUCCUCAGAUGGUUGGAGGUCUUGAAGGUUUUCUUCCCAGGGACGCCAGCACCUCUGAUCACUGAGGCGAAACCCCCUGCCUGAAGUGCUUGUUCAACAUGCUUCUGCAACAUCACUUGGUCCUCGAAAAUUUCUGGUUUGGGAGAACUGCCAACGAUGCCCCUAGAGACCUUUCAAACCUCUUUGCUAAUUCCUCUUGCCAAGAGAUGCUUGAGAGGAAAAAUUAACAUGAAUAAAAGAUCAUUGAAAGAAUCUACAGGCCGGGCGCGGUGGCUGACGCCUGUAAUCCCAACACUUUGGGAGGCCAAGGCAGGUGAAU
rnacentral:lncRNA from 10 species